AACAGCAGAGAUAAAAACACGGUCCGGUUGGUAGUCCGGGCGCGGCUGUGACCGUCAGUAACCUGCCUCCUUGGUUGUCCUUUCUCCGCUUUCUAUAU
rnacentral:ncRNA from 1 species